rnacentral:rRNA from 1 species
UACGAAGGGGGCUAGCGUUGUUCGGAAUCACUGGGCGUAAAGGGCGCGUAGGCGGCCGUUCAAGUCGGGGGUGAAAGCCUGUGGCUCAACCACAGAAUGGCCUUCGAUACUGGACGGCUCGAGACCGGAAGAGGUCAGUGGAACUGCGAGUGUAGAGGUGAAAUUCGUAGAUAUUCGCAAGAACACCAGUGGCGAAGGCGGCUGACUGGUCCGGUUCUGACGCUGAGGCGCGAAAGCGUGGGGAGCGAACAGG